CAGGCUCUGACCGAUCCUCUGCCAGCUAUUAUAAAAAGCCCUACCUAGUUGAUUCUUUGGCUCUUUGCUAAAGAUUCUCGUGGUGACAAAGACUCAAACUUCAAGUUCAACUACAACUACAAGUUUGCAACUCUAAAAGGCAACAGUUUAUAGGGCUUCAAAGGGAACUGGCGAUGAAGUUUUGCUUAAGUUUAGGGAGGCUCUUGACAUAUUGGAAUAGAAUUGAAAAUAUUACUGUUGAUACUUGAAAAAUGAUAUAGUUGUUGUGCUUUUUCGCAAGAGGAGUGCCAGUUGAGCUCUUAAUGUUGAUACUUGUAUAUCUCUUACCAAAUGUUUUGUUUGCACUAAAUUAUCUUUUACUAGUUUUGUUUU